rnacentral:rRNA from 1 species
AGUGAACGCUGGCGGUAGGCCUAACACAUGCAAGUCGAACGGCAGCACAGUAAGAGCUUGCUCUUACGGGUGGCGAGUGGCGGACGGGUGAGGAAUACAUCGGAAUCUACUUUUUCGUGGGGGAUAACGUCGGGAAACUUACGCUAAUACCGCAUACGACCUACGGGUGAAAGCAGGGGAUCUUCGGACCUUGCGCGAUUGAAUGAGCCGAUGUCGGAUUAGCUAGUUGGCGGGGUAAAGGCCCACCAAGGCGACGAUCCGUAGCUGGUCUGAGAGGAUGAUCAGCCACACUGGAACUGAGACACGGUCCAGACUCCUACGGGAGGCAGCAGUGGGGAAUAUUGGACAAUGGGCGCAAGCCUGAUCCAGCCAUACCGCGUGUGUGAAGAAGGCCUUCGGGUUGUAAAGCCCUUUUGUUGGGAAAGAAAAGCAGCAGGUUAAUACCCCGCUGUUCUGACGGUACCCAAAGAAUAAGCACCGGCUAACUUCGUG